UACAGAGGGGGCAAACGUUGUUCGGAAUUACUGGGCGUAAAGGGCGCGUAGGCGGCCUUCUAAGUCGAACGUGAAAUCCCUGGGCUCAACCCAGGAACUGCGUCCGAUACUGGAAGGCUUGAAUCCGGGAGAGGGAUGCGGAAUUCCAGGUGUAGCGGUGAAAUGCGUAGAUAUCUGGAGGAACAUCGGUGGCGAAGGCGGCAUCCUGGACCGGCAUUGACGCUGAGGCGCGAAAGCCAGGGGAGCAAACGGG
rnacentral:rRNA from 1 species